AAUUAUUUGAUUAGAUGUUAACUCAAUUUGAACAUCUUCAACACACACAUUAUACUAAGUUAAAGUUAAGCGUGUAUGAAUCCACCACAAGGGCCGCCUGCCAGCUUGAAAGUGAAACAUCAUCAACAAACUUUCUGCAGUAACUAUAUCCAUUCUACCUGUCAGUUGCGAAGAGAGUGUUUCCGCUUACUAAAAAAAGGAAUCACAAUAAAAAGUAAUGGUGUAAGGUGCAGCCGUGAUUCCUGCUUCGUGCGCUUAAACCGGCUGAAAAAAUACUCGUGCGGGACAGAACACACAAAUUACAAAACGAUUUUACUUUGGAAAGGGUCGCACGGAAAAAAAUACGCGAUUCCGACAGUCACACGAGUGUUGAUCCGGUCAAAACUCAAGCGUACAAGCAGGAACACAACGUCCGUUCACACAAGGCCUGUUGAUCUAAUCAGGGUUGAUUCCGGAUCGUACCGGAUUGCACUGGGAAGAUAAGAAUCCUGAAGGUAUCAGUACCAGCAAGCAGUGAUCUGCGAACGAAAAGCGAUACGCUUUUAACCAGCCUAGCAAACACGAAACGGAAAACGCCUUCCAAGAGAAGGCUCCUUUUCCGACACUUAAAGUGUCCUACUACAAGCAUCGGGACUCAGAUACCGGCUCAUCAGAAGUUCAAUCAAGGCGUCGGUCGAACAGGAACAAUUCGCAGGCAGAUCAGUUGGUGGAAGGAAUCUGGUCACCGCAGCUGUGCACCUGGACGCAGGUGAGCAGCCUGAGUACAAGCGGGUAAUAGGAGACCGUGACGCAAUAGGUCCCACGGUCGAGCUCAAGGGGAUUUUGUCACUAACGAGGGCACGCCGGAUGGAACGGAAGGUGGCGAGACACACGGUUCAUAUCGUGAGAUGCCGCAGCGGAUGGCGGGGCUGUGAGUACUAGCUUUUAAGAAGUGAAUAGAAUCAGUAGGCUGGAAGGGCAGAGCAGCAGGGAUAGGUGGAUAGAAGAAGUCAGAGAAAAAAGAGGAAUGUGUGAAGAGAGAUGAAUAAAGGGGUAGGAUGUUCAAAAUGACACGUGUAGGUUUUGGUUUUAUGAGCAGUCGGCCCAGUUGAGGCAA